AGAGUUUGAUCCUGGCUCAGGACGAACGCUGGCGGCGUGCCUAAUACAUGCAAGUCGAACGCUGCUUAAGAAGAAACUUCGGUUUUUUCUUAAGCGGAGUGGCGGACGGGUGAGUAACACGUGGGGAACCUAUCCAUCAGCGGGGGAUAACACUUGGAAACAGGUGCUAAUACCGCAUACGGCUUUUUUUCACCUGAAAGAAAGCUCAAAGGCGCUUUACAGCGUCACUGAUGGCUGGCCCCGCGGUGCAUUAGCCAGUUGGUGAGGUAACGGCUCACCAAAGCAACGAUGCAUAGCCGACCUGAGAGGGUGAUCGGCCACACUGGGACUGAGACACGGCCCAGACUCCUACGGGAGGCAGCAGUAGGGAAUCUUCGGCAAUGGACGCAAGUCUGACCGAGCAACGCCGCGUGAGUGAAGAAGGUUUUCGGAUCGUAAAGCUCUGUUGUCAGCAAAGAACAGGAGAAAGAGGCAAUGCUUUUUCUAUGACGGUAGCUGACCAGAAAGCCACGGCUAACUACGUGCCAGCAGCCGCGGUAAUACGUAGGUGGCAAGCGUUGUCCGGAUUUAUUGGGCGUAAAGCGAGCGCAGGCGGUGAUUUAAGUCUGAUG
rnacentral:rRNA from 1 species